GUAGUCAUAUGCUUGUCUCAAAGAUUAAGCCAUGCAUGUCUAAGUAUAAGCAAUUAUACCGUGAAACUGCGAAUGGCUCAUUAAAUCAGUUAUCGUUUAUUUGAUAGUACCUUACUACUUGGAUAACCGUGGUAAUUCUAGAGCUAAUACAUGCUGAAAACCCCAACUUCGGAAGGGGUGUAUUUAUUAGAUAAAAAACCAAUGCCCUUCGGGGCUUCUUGGUGAUUCAUGAUAACUAAACGGAUCGCAUGGCCUUGCGCCGGCGACGGUUCAUUCAAAUUUCUGCCCUAUCAACUUUCGAUGGUAAGGUAUUGGCUUACCAUGGUUUCAACGGGUAACGGGGAAU
rnacentral:rRNA from 1 species